rnacentral:rRNA from 1 species
GAUGAACGCUAGCGAUAGGCUUAACACAUGCAAGUCGAGGGGCAGCACACGGUAGCUUGCUAUCUGGGUGGCGACCGGCGCACGGGUGCGUAACGCGUAUGCAACUUGCCCUAUACAGGAGGAUAACCCGUCGAAAGACGGACUAAUACUGCGUAUGCUCACAACUUGGCAUCAAGUGGUGAGGAAAGUAAUUCGGUAUAGGAUAGGCAGGCGUCCCAUUGGCUUGUUGGUGAGUUAACGGCCCACCAAGGCAACGAUGGGUAGGGGAACUGAGAGGUUGAUCCCCCACACUGGUACUGAGACACGGACCAGACUCCUACGGGAGGAAGCAGUGAGGAAUAUUGGUCAAUGGGCGCGAGCCUGAACCAGCCAAGUCGCGUGAAGGAUGACUGUCUUAGGGAUAGUAAACUUCUUUUAGACGGGAAUAACAAGAGUCACGUGUGACUCCCUGCAGGUACCGGAUGAAUAAGCAUCGGCUAACUCCGUG